GGGAAUGAUGAUUUCACAGACUAGAGUCUCUGACACAUGGUCAUGAUGUCAAAACUAAGUUCUGACUC
rnacentral:snoRNA from 12 species